CCUGGCUCAGGAUGAACGCUGGCGGCGUGCCUAAUACAUGCAAGUCGAACGAGAUAGCAAUAGUCGAGUGGCGAACGGGUGAGUAACACGUAGGUAACCUGCCUUACAGUUCGGGAUACCCUGGCGAAAGCUAGGCUAAUACGAAUAAUGGAUGGAGGCAUCUCCGAUCUCUAAAAGGGGCCCUUAAAGCCUCGCUGAAUGAUGGACCUGCGGCGCAUUAGCUAGUUGGUGAGAUAACAGCCACCAAGGCGAGGAUGCGUAGCCGACCUGAGAGGGUGAACGGCCACACUGGAACUGAGACACGGUCCAGACUCCUACGGGAGGCAGCAGUAGGGAGUUUUCGGCAAUGGGGGAAACCCUGACCGAGCAACGCCGCGUGAAUGAUAGAAGGUCUUCGGAUUGUAAAGUUCUGUUAUAAGGGAAAAAUGAUAUGGUGAGGAAAUGCUCCAUAUUUGAUGGUACCUUAUUAGAAAGCCACGGCUAACUACGUGCCAGCAGCCGC
rnacentral:rRNA from 1 species